GAGGGCUACUGGUUGGAUUUCUCUCAAAGGGGUGGCAGAUCUGAACUGCUAGUGGGUGGAGGAGAGGGUUUCCAUGGUGGGGUGUGGCGGAGCACGGUGACACUAGGGCAAAAUUGACCCUAGAGGCUUCGGGAAGUAGAUCUGAGGGUGGGGAAAUGCUAGAACUUGAUUUUGAGAGAGGAACAAACUGAUUGAGGGAUGAGAAGCUCGACCUAUUUAUAAGCCGAGGGGUGGUUCUCGACAGCAGCAACAAUGGCUACGAUUGGGGUAG